rnacentral:lncRNA from 1 species
GACCACCAACAAGGGUCCAGUAUCAGAUUGUCUGCACACCUCAUUCCUCUUGGUCGUGAGACAAGAACUCAGAACUUGCUGAAAUGCAGAAGUGAAAGAGCAGUAUCACUCCAUCCUGCUGAACUACGGGAGUGAAGAAGCCACAGUAGGACUUUACUAGAAGUGAGGAUUGGAGAACAGAAUCUUUCCAAAAGUUUUGAAGAAGCUUCCAUGUUGUGAGAGAGCAUAUGGAGGGGGCCACGUGGCAAGGAACUGUAGUGGCCACUGAGUACUGAGAGUGCUGAGUGCUGAACAUAGAACCUCAGGGCAACAGUUGCAAAGACAUGAAUUCCACCAACAACAUGAAGGCCUUGGAAAUGGAUUAUUCUCUAGUCCAGGCUCUGAUCACCACAGCCCCAGCCAACACCUGAAUUUGAGCCUUGUGAGACCCUGGAGUAGAGAACUUAGCUAGGAUAUGCCUGACUUCUGCCCUACAGAAACAAAGACAUAAUAAAUGUGUGCUAUUUUAAGCUUCAAGUUUGUGAUGAUUUACUACACAGUAUAGAAAACUAAUACAAUAUUACUUUUCUUUCUGCAACAUAUGUUUCCAUUAGUCUAACUUCCAUCUUGAUUCAACAGAUAUUUUUUGAAUUCUUAUGCCAAGUGCUGUUAAGAAUUUAUCUCACAAUCACAUAGGUCAGUAAAUAGCAGCGACCAGAUGGGAGUUCAGGCCCUUUUAGUCAUUGCUCAGUGAUCAUUCCCUUACAAUAAACAUCUGUGGAUGCACUAAUCCAAAUAUCAAGUGUGUGAUUGCCACAAAUAUUUGAGUUAUAAGAUGUUAGAAAUGUUUAA